UUUUCCUCUGAAUUCCACAUAGAACAUGCACUGCACAAUUUUAUCGUAAAAUACCUGCUUUUUACACACAUUUUAGGAUAAGCUAUGGAGGCGGCAGUUUUAAUAAGCAAGGAAACUUACAUAGGAGGCUUAACACAGGAGGCUGCAAGACGAGUGCACCUCUGCACUCCCUCGCCAAAAUGUUAAGAGUUUAUACAGAAGCCUUACCUGGGUUCUCUCACAUGUAUUGUACAGAUAGUCUCAACAACACUUUGCUCUCUCAAGGUUGCAUCUUUGAAAUGGCUCCGGCUACGGGAACCAUGAGCGGAACAUAUAUUCCAAGUCCAGGACAGGAGGUGAGGAGCCUCUAACUGCGUGGUCCCGCCCGCGGGUCAACUGGCGGUCAGAUCCUCUUGACGACCUUCUCCAGCAAUACCUCCGUCGUCAUUCUCUCAGAGCCACAUUUAAACUACUCAAAAUUCCAUCUGGAAUUCAAGACCUCACAGGAAAAUGAAACAUGAAGUGCCAACAUUUUGCUUUACAAAGCUUUUACGAAAGUCCCUGGUUUUGAAUCUGCAAAGAAAUCAUAGUAGAAAGUUAUACUUCUAAGGAUCUCCAAUACCUGACAUCCUGCAUAUCCAAAUUUCCAACUUCCAUACAGAUCUGAAGCUGCAGACAUGGGAUAUCCAAUGCUACUGACCCCUAUGUCAGUAACAGCCAGAUAAGAAAAUGGAAGAACACAAAGCUGAGGGAAUUUGCUCACUGUUGCAUAGAUACUAAAGGAUGAAAUCCAAAGUGCAAGAGUUUUCCAAUACAGCAUUCUGGGAAUGAGUUGAAUUUCCACCUUGUCUUCAACAACAAUACAGUCUGCUCUCUUUUUUUACAACUUUCAUUUUCUUUCCAGGACCUUAAUUAGAUUUCCAGGAUCUUAAUUAGAUUCCACCACCAAAGACAAGACGACACAGAGGAUGUGUGAGAAUAGUAAAUGACCUAAAAAUACUUUUAUGCCAUGGUACACACUCUUCCCCAAUAAAGCCUUAAUUUGACAAUGUAA